AUUGCACGCUGGCGGCAGGCCUAACACAUGCAAGUCGAACGAGUGGCGGACGGGUGAGUAAUGUCUGGGAAACUGCCUGAUGGAGGGGGAUAACUACUGGAAACGGUAGCUAAUACCGCAUACCAUCGGAUGUGCCCAGAUGGGCUUAGCUAGUAGGUGGGGUAAAUGCUCACCUAGGCGACGCUCCCUAGCUGGUAUUGGAGGUUGACCAGCCACACUGGAACUGAGACACGGUCCAGACUCCUACGGGAGGCAGCAGUGGGGAAUAUUGCACAAUGGGCGCAAGCCUGAUGCAGCCAUGCCGCGUGUAUGAAGAAGGCCUUCGGAUUGGAAAGUACUUUCAGCGGGGAAGCGUUACCCGCAGAAGAAGCAACGGCUAACUCCGUGCCAGCAGCCGCGGUAAUAC
rnacentral:rRNA from 1 species